rnacentral:rRNA from 1 species
CGCGUAGGUGGUAGUGUAAGUCUGGGGUGGAAUGCCGGGGCUUAACCCUGGAAUUGCCUUGGAAACUGCAUUACUUGAGUCAGUGAGGGAAGGGUAGAAUUCCUGGUGUAGCGGUGAAAUGCGUAGAUAUCAGGAGGAAGGCCUGUGGCGAAGGCGGCCCUCUGGUGCUGGACUGACACUGAGGCGCGAAAGCGUGGGGAGCAAACAGGAUUAGAUACCCUGGUAGUCCACGCCCUAAACGGUGGGCACUAGGUGUAGGGCUCGUAAGGGUUCUGUGCCGAAGGGAAACCAUUAAGUGCCCCGCCUGGGGAGUACGGCCGCAAGGUUGAA